CCUCCCGGUAGGAAACUCCGGGACCCUGCAAGGGAUGACUCACCCCAGUGAUUCAACCGCGCCACCGAGCGCGGAGCUGCCCUGGAGGACGCAGGCGGGUCUAGUUGCCCGGGUCCCCCAAGGCCCCCGGAUUCACCCAGGCCCGCGACUCCGACGUGCAGCUUAGGUGGGUUGCAGGUCUAUGGCAGGAAAGGGAGGGCGCCUUGGAAGAAUUCUUCCCUUCCAUUUGGUGAUAAAGUGGGAGAGGCGGCAUUUACAACAUUUAAUAGAAAGCACGGGCUCUGGGCUCCCCUCGGGCAGCGGAGGGCAUUUCCCGGAUGCUUUGCCCACCUGGGGCAGAAGCUCGGGACCUGCAGCGAAGUAAACGUGUGGCUGUGAGCAGGGCCCUCUCCCAGCCACGGUGGCUUCUUCUACCCCACGAAGGUCAAGAAUACCUGGCCUGCCCACCUCGCGGGGCCCUUAGCGGGUCGCACAGGAGAAAGGCGGUGGGAAUGCCGGUGUCAGCCACGGUGUGACCGGCUCGGCUCACAGGUCUGAGGGUCAGUUGGCUCAGGCAUCGCCCGGUACGACCAGAGAUAGUGACUGAGGAAGAGCAGCCUCACAUCUGGCAGUUUGCCUCUGGGAGAAUUCCAGCGUGACAUCUGCAGCUCUGUGGUUCCAGAAAGGAUGGUUCCCACAUUGAAGAAGACAUCUGUGGGACUGAGUUCCACCGAAAUGCAGAGGAACCAAAAAUGAAAAUGAAAAAUCCUAGUUAACAGAUGCUCCAAAUUUUGAGCCUGUAACCCUUCCAAUCCCUUGCUGCCUUUGAUGGUGAUGCUCCAUCCUAUUAUACCAACUCCACAUUGAAGCAGAACUCUCAAGACAGAGAUGGGGAGGGAUGGAUGGGCUGUGAGGCCCCCCAGCCAAGAAGCUGGAAGAACUUUCUCGAAUCCUGCAGAGCUGCUCAGGGGCCUGCCUUGUAUCUGCCUGGCUGUUCCAGGGAGGUUGGAAGACAAACUGAAGGCUUUCCAUUGCUGAACAUCAGACCUCAGAAGUACUGACUGGAGGGCUCCCAAGCUGGCUCAGAUCAGCCUCAUAUUGCCCCGAACAGUAUCAUCACCGCUUUGCCCUGGUGGGGAAACUACUCUUUACCCUCUGUAUGAACCUAUGAAGCACGCAGGUCACUGGGGCAAUUUCUGAGUUUGAAGUUGCUUGGAUUUGCCAUUGCUGCUAUGUUGAAGGGAAGGGAGUGCUUUUGAAGAAAAUGUUCAUCUCUAGUUCCAGUAACAGGCAUGGAAUUGACACAUAACAGGUGUUUGUUGAAUUGAGCUGAAUAAAUUAGAAUCUGGGGCAAAAUAUAGUUGUUCUUUAUAGUCCUAAGUCUAUUAAUAAAGCAGAUAUAUCCUUAUUACAUGUUUUACUGCCAUAAAUGUGUCUACCAGAACUAGGAAUAAUGACAGACGGAAGGGUUGAGGAUUCUUUCUGACGAUAACCUGCCAGGACACCCGCUUCCUCCCUCCCUGUCCAGAUGGGGUGGACUACAGUGCUCUGGCUCACACCAGGGGUGGAGGUAUUCCCAUUAUUUGUCUGUUUUGUUGUCUGUAGUGCUUAGUCAGAAUGCUGCCUGAUACAUUGCAGGGGUUCAAUGACUUUCUGUGGAAUGAAUGAACAGACAGAUGGUUACUUACCCCAGGGACAUAAGAGCCUCACAUAGCUGCAGCGUGAGCAGUGCCCUCUGCAGUCCUGGACCCAGAUGCAUAGAGGCCGAGAUGUUCAGCCUUCCACCCCAUGGCCAUCCCGGAGCCUGGGGCUGACUCUGUCUGGUUUGGCUGCU
rnacentral:lncRNA from 10 species